GCGCCAGUAGCUCAACUGGAUAGAGCGUUGGUCUACGGAACCAAAGGUUGGGGGUUCGAGUCCUCCCUGGCGUACCA
rnacentral:tRNA from 1 species